UCGUGGGAGUCGAGGCAACAGCAGCAGCAUAAAAGCAUUAAAGCAUAGCAGCAUAAAAGCAUUAAAGCAUAGCAGCAAAAAUCGGAGCAACACAACAUCAUCAUCAUUUCAACUCAACUUUGUUCGUUCUCAAGAUAAAUACAUAAAACGACGCAGCUAAAUUCCAAAGAAAUUUGAACAAAACAAAAAAAAAAAAAACAA